GCAGUGGUGUAAUUGACUGUUUCUGAGGUGACCGGUUCCAAGAUCUUUUAAUUUCUGAGUGGUCCUCUAGGUGGUUUAUCUGCCAAUUGAAAUUGUACUAGAGAAAAGGCUUAAGGAAGGUUAACAAUGGAAGUAAGCAGCGAGUGAAGGCAACAGCUGGGGUUUCAAUGUUAACAAUGGAAGUCUUCAUUACUUUUUUGUUGGUAGUGAAGACUACGCGUAUGGUGUAAUGGGAUGUAAUGUUAAAUGUAGAAAUAAUCAUGAAUAAAUGUGGAUUUUAUGGAAUUGAGAUUUAAUUAGCU
rnacentral:lncRNA from 1 species